UGCAAGUCGAACGGAGAUUCAGCAAUGGAUCUUAGUGGCGAACGGGUGAGUAACGCGUAGGCAAUCUGCCUUCUAGAUGGGGACAACAUCCCGAAAGGGGUGCUAAUACCGAAUGUUGUAGUUGGUUCGCAUGGACUAGCUACUAAAGGUGGCCUCUGAAUAUGCUACCGCUAGAAGAUGAGCCUGCGUCUGAUUAGCUAGUUGGAGGGGUAACGGCCCACCAAGGCUUCGAUCAGUAGCCGGUCUGAGAGGAUGAACGGCCACACUGGGACUGAGACACGGCCCAGACUCCUACGGGAGGCAGCAGUGGGGAAUCUUCCGCAAUGGACGAAAGUCUGACGGAGCAACGCCGCGUGAGUGAAGAAGGUUUUCGGAUCGUAAAGCUCUUUCGUUAGGGACGAACGUGCUCUUUGUGAAUAAUGAGGAGUAAUGACGGUACCUAAAUAAGAAGCCACGGCUAACUACGUGCCAGCAGCCGCGGUAAUACGUAGGUGGCAAGCGUUGUCCGGAAUUAUUGGGCGUAAAGCGCGCGC
rnacentral:rRNA from 1 species